CAAUAGCGUAUAUUAAAGCUGUUGCGGUUAAAAAGCUCGUAGUUGGAUUUCUGUCAAGGACAACUGGUCCGCCCCUCGGGUGAGCACAUAGUUUGGUCUUGGCAUCUUGUUGGAAACUGUUGCUGCACUUGGUUGUGUGGCGCAGUGUCCAGCACUUUCGCUUUGAGGAAAUUGGAGUGUUUCAAGCAGGCACAUGCCUUUGGACACAGUAGCAUGGAAUAAUUAGAUUGGGCUUUUGCUCCAACUUGUCGGUUUCUGGAGCUGAGGUGAGAAUUAAUGGGGAUUGUUGGGGGCAUCCGAAUUUAGCCGUCAGAGGUGAAAUUCUUGGAUCUGCUAAAGACGGACAACUGCGAAAGCGUUUGCCCAGGAUGUUUUCAUUGA
rnacentral:rRNA from 1 species